AAGUCGUAACAAGGUUUCCGUAGGCGAACCUGCGGAAGGAUCAUUAAGAAUUCGGCUUCGCGGCCAAGUUCUCACCCUUUGUCAUACCGAAACAUAUGUUGCUUUUGGGCAGGCCCCCGCCAUUUCUUCGGGGCCUGCCAGAGGUUAAUAACCCUAGAAUCUCUGCUGUCUGAGUACUAUGCAAUAGUUAAA
rnacentral:misc_RNA from 1 species